rnacentral:lncRNA from 1 species
GGUAUAGUUGUUUAAAUUAGUCGGGUCCAAAGUAGGCAUAGUAUAUCAGAAACAAUAAAAAAAAAACUCAAACAGUAACAUUAAGAAACCCUUUCUCCUCAAAUUUGAUAUUAGGAUCUGAAAAAUCUAAGACAAGGAGAUCUAUUAAGAGCAAAAAAAAUAAAAAACUUGUAUGUCAUUUACAUAUAUUCUCCUCUCCUAUUAUGUAUCUUCAUAAUAUAUCUGCUUACUCGAAUUUCUCUUCCUCCUCGGACGCUGUAGAAAAAUCUUGAACCCCAUCAAAUGUACAAUCUCAUAGAAAGAAAAAGAAACUAGAAUAUAUUUUCUCAGAAAAAAGAAUCACAUUUUUAUCUUUUUUCUGGGCAUCAAUUAUUUUCAAGAAUCUCUGUAGUCACGCCAACAGAUAAGCAUAGUAACACAACGCCUCAUAAUAUAAAACCUUGCUCUUUGUUCUUUUACCAAAGAAGCACAUUUUCUUGUAAAAGCACAUCUUUUGUUGUGAGAUGAAGAUGAAUUUUUAAGGAAAUUAGAGGAAGUAGUAGUAGUAGUUGUAGUAGAGCGGCAGCUACGAGCUAAGCUUUCUUUUUUGGACAGUUUCCAUUUAUCAUCCAAGUAAAAUUGCUGUGGAACUGUAUCAGCAGCCAUGAAAAGAGAGUAAAUUGUAGAGAUCUGUUGUUGGACUUGGAUUUGGCUACCCUUUUUUGGCUAUUUGUGUAAAAGCUCAAAAAGUGGAGUUUUCUGGGGAUUCUUGAGGAUGAAGAUGAUGAGUUUUUGAGAGUUGAGUCAGUCAGUUGGAGGGUUUGGGAGAUGGCAACUAGGGUUAGUAUUUAUAAUGGGGUUC